rnacentral:rRNA from 1 species
GAGUUUGAUUCUGGCUCAGGAUGAACGCUAGCGGCAGGCCUAACACAUGCAAGUCGAGGGGUAGAGUGCUUCGGCACUUGAGACCGGCGCACGGGUGCGUAACACGUGUACAAUCUACCUUUUGCUAAGGGAUAGCCCGAAGAAAUUUGGAUUAAUACCUUAUAGUAUUGUUUGGUGGCAUCACUGAAUAAUUAAAGCUCUGGUGGCAAAAGAUGAGUACGCGCCCCAUUAGCUAGUUGGUGUGGUAACGGCAUACCAAGGCUACGAUGGGUAGGGGUCCUGAGAGGGAGGUCCCCCACACUGGUACUGAGACACGGACCAGACUCCUACGGGAGGCAGCAGUGAGGAAUAUUGGACAAUGGUCGGAAGACUGAUCCAGCCAUGCCGCGUGCAGGAUGACGGCCUUAUGGGUUGUAAACUGCUUUUGUAUGGGAAGAAUAAGGUCUGCGCGUAGAUUGA